GCCUACCAAGGCGACGAUCAGUAGCUGGUCUGAGAGGAUGAUCAGCCACACUGGGACUGAGACACGGCCCAGACUCCUACGGGAGGCAGCAGUGGGGAAUAUUGGACAAUGGGCGCAAGCCUGAUCCAGCCAUGCCGCGUGAGUGAUGAAGGCCUUAGGGUUGUAAAGCUCUUUUGUCCGGGACGAUAAUGACGGUACCGGAAGAAUAAGCCCCGGCUAACUUCGUGCCAGCAGCCGCGGUAAUACGAAGGGGGCUAGCGUUGCUCGGAAUCACUGGGCGUAAAGGGCGCGUAGGCGGCCGAUUAAGUCGGGGGUGAAAGCCUGUGGCUCAACCACAGAAUUGCCUUCGAUACUGGUUGGCUUGAGACCGGAAGAGGACAGCGGAACUGCGAGUGUAGAGGUGAAAUUCGUAGAUAUUCGCAAGAACACCAGUGGCGAAGGCGGCUGUCUGGUCCGGUUCUGACGCUGAGGCGCGAAAGCGUGGGGAGCAAACAGGAUUAGAUACCCU
rnacentral:rRNA from 1 species